rnacentral:rRNA from 1 species
CCUACGGGUGGCAGCAGUGGGGAAUAUUGCACAAUGGGGGAAACCCUGAUGCAGCGAAGCCGCGUGAGUGAAGAAGUAUCUCGGUACGUAAAGCUCUAUCAGCAGGGGAGCAAAUGACGGUACCUGACUAAGAAGCCCCGGCUAACUACGUGCCAGCAGCCGCGGUAAUACUUCGGGGGCAAGCGUUAUCCGGAUGUACUGGGUGUAAAGGGAGCGUAGGUGGCAGCACAAGUCUGGAGUGAAAUACCGGGGCUUAACCCCGGAAAUGCUGUGGAAACUGUGCGGCUGGAGUGCAGGAGAGGUAAGCGGAAUUCGUGGUGUAGCGGUGAAAUGCGUAGAUAUUAGGAGGAACACCGGUGGCGAAGGCGGCUUACUGGACUGUAACUGACGUUGAGGCUCGAAAGCGUGGGGAGCAAACAGGAUUAGAUACCCCUGUAGUC